AUUGAACGCUGGCGGCAGGCCUAACACAUGCAAGUCGAGCGGAUGAAGGGAGCUUGCUCCUGGAUUCAGCGGCGGACGGGUGAGUAAUGCCUAGGAAUCUGCCUGGUAGUGGGGGAUAACGUCCGGAGACGGGCGCUAAUACCGCAUACGUCCUGAGGGAGAAAGUGGGGGAUCUUCGGACCUCACGCUAUCAGAUGAGCCUAGGUCGGAUUAGCUAGUUGGUGGGGUAAAGGCCUACCAAGGCGACGAUCCGUAACUGGUCUGAGAGGAUGAUCAGUCGCACUGGAACUGAGACACGGUCCAGACUCCUACGGGAGGCAGCAGUGGGGAAUAUUGGACAAUGGGCGAAAGCCUGGUCCAGCCAUGCCGCGUGUGUGAAGAAGGUCUUCGGAUUGUAAAGCACUUUAAGUUGGGAGGAAGGGCAGUAAGUUAAUACCUUGCUGUUUUGACGGUACCAGCAGAAUAAGCACCGGCUAACUUCGUG
rnacentral:rRNA from 1 species